CAGUCGCCGCGGUAAUACGUAGGGUGCGAGCGUUAAUCGGAAUUACUGGGCGUAAAGCGUGCGCAGGCGGUUGUGUAAGACAGGUGUGAAGCCCCCGGGCUUAACCUGGGAACUGCGCUUGUGACUGCACAGCUAGAGUAUGGCAGAGGGGGGUGGAAUUCCACGUGUAGCAGUGAAAUGCGUAGAGAUGUGGAGGAACACCGAUGGCGAAGGCAGCCCCCUGGGCCAAUACUGACGCUCAUGCACGAAAGCGUGGGGAGCAAACAGGAUUAGAUACCCCCGUAGUCCCUGUCUCUUAUAC
rnacentral:rRNA from 1 species